AUGGUUACUGAGCUCAGAGAGGGAAAUGAAACACUGAAGACCAGUUUUAUCGAGUCUGAGGAAGACCAACAGAACCAGCAGCCUCCUCUGCUUGUUGUCUCUCUGUCUCCUCCUCCAGUGGGUCGAGUCACCCCCACCCUGACGGUGCUGCCCCCCUCCAGCGAGGAGCUGCAGCAGGGGAAGGCCACGCUCGUGUGUCUGGCCAACAAGGGCUACCCCUCAGACUGGAGUCUGGCCUGGAAGGUGGACGGCAGCAGCAGCAGCUUGGAGCAGAGCAGGAGCCCCGGGGUGCUGCAGAAUGAUGGCUGCUACAGCUGGAGCAGCACCCUGAGGCUCCCUGCAGACCAGUGGAGGAAGGUGGUCUCUGUGACCUGUGAAGCCACCCAGGGCUCCCAGACUCCAGUCUCAGAGACACUGAGGAGAGACCAGUGU